UCUGGAGGGCAAAGUGUUCUGUUUGUUUGGCCCUGGUGGUGUGAACCAGAAAUGUACACGGGGCUGUCACUGGCUGAGUAACUGAAGUAAGUAGAAAUUAACCGCAGUGUACCAAGCAAGCUUACCUUGGCAGCCAGCUUCAACGUUUUGACAAGUAUGAUUGCUCUCAACUGGAGGGUUGCCCCAGUUGCUGUCCUUGUUGCUGAGACCGGAGGGCAGAGUCUGGACAUUGAUCCUGUUUCCACACUCUUCUGGAAGAAGCAAACAUCUUCGAUUAGAGAUGAACACCAGAGUAAGAAGAAAUGUCUCCACACACCAACUCAAAGAAGCGGCAUGGCUCUAAGCACACAUAAAGACGAAUUGCUGAGCUGUACUGGAAGACAGAACAUUUUUCAGUUGUGACCACCUGUCAUUAAAUUUUGCUCUAUAAUUAUUCCAUUAGAGUGGAAGCAAUUAAUUAGGAGGCAUUGCUAUUAGUAGAAGGAAACUGUCAAAAUUGUUUCUCUUGGUGCCAGUUCUGACCAUCUGCAGGACAUCUAGAUGUUUAUUACUGCUAAUGACUUUGGAAAUGGAAAUUCAUAUGCAGAUGGCUCUCAGAGGACUUCCUGCCAAGCACAGAAAAAGCGACGUGUGGCUUUUCCAGGGCUGAGCACACAAGUGCCCCAACCCCACAGUGUAGCUGGCCACUUCCUGCCUCUGACAGACACGGGGGGUUGGGAAGGGGCUUGGAGCAGAACUAGCCUUGAAGGAAACAGAGUUUCCACAUCUUAAAAACAACCCUUUUUUGGUUGGGCAUGGUGGAACUCAGGACUCUCAGGCAGGUGGAUCUCUGUGAGUCCCAGGCAGGAUAAUGCCACAUAGUGAGAUCCUGUCUCAACACCACCACCACGCUUUUCUGUAAGUCUUGCUCUGGGCUUUCUUUGGUACCUGGAAGUGAUGGCUUUAGCAUGCACUGCCUAAUGACCCCUAAAGUGUGAGGGUGACAACCCAAACAGGUGUCCAGAUGAACACAACCUUCAGCACCCCUGCCAUCGAAGCUCUCACCCCUGUGGUUUCCUAGUGUGCAGGCCCCUCUCAGUCACCCUGAGAAGAGGGAGAGUGAAGAGUCUCAUGAAGUUUACAGCUCUUAGUGGAAUGUAACACAUUUCUCCUCACCAGCUGGGCUGAAUGAUAGCCAGGGGCAGGCCAAAGCUUCAACUCAGGCGCCAUUUGUUCACAGGGUGACUGAAUCGGCCCUAGACUUUGAUGUUGGCUACCUGUGGGGUGUACCCCACCCCAUCUGCCAGGCCAUAGUCCCUGCAGUGACCCUGACGGCUCACAUUCACGAAGUUAUGUUAUUAUUGCAUGUUGUGAACGUGUGGCGACUAUGCCCAUGAUGAACACUGCCAAUUUGAACAUAAGCAUUUUGAGCCUUUUCUAACAUGAAGAGUUUUGUCUAUUUUUUUUUCUAAUCUUGAAA
rnacentral:lncRNA from 1 species